GACCUCUAGCCCCGUGGACUUCUGAGGAUCCCAUUGCUCCUCAGCCGGGGCUGGAGGCCAGAUCGGCCCUGGAGAAGCACCAUCAGCCUGCCUCCAGUGGGCAGCCUUGUUUUCCUGUGGUGGCUGGGAAUU
ensembl:scaRNA